UGCUGUGAGAUACUCCGUUAAUUUGUAC
rnacentral:piRNA from 1 species